rnacentral:lncRNA from 1 species
CCCCCAAUUCGCCAUUCCCGCUUCGUGAUCGCACUAAAACCCUAACCCCAAUCCUCGUUAAUGGAGAGGGACUCUUCUUCCUCCGACGAUGACGAGGAUCGCCGCACCCUCGUCCCCCAGAGCGAGGCGAAGCCCCCUCCCCCUACACCUCCCCCCGCCGCCGCCGCCGCCGCAGUGUUCGAGAUCGCCCGNCCUACACCUCCCCCCGCCGCCGCCGCCGCCGCAGCGUUCGAGAUCGCCCGUGGCGCUGCCGCCUCCGCCGCCCGCAGCUGCGGCGGCGGCGGAGGCGGCGGCUUCUGGUCGAGCAAGCGCUACCUCCUCCUCGCAGUGUGCCUCCCCCUGGUCCU